CGUAACAAAGGGAAAGCGAACCCGUGAGGGGGAGGCAAAUCCCAAAAAUAACGUCCCAGUUCGGACUGUAGUCUGCAACCCGACUACACGAAGCUGGAAUCGCUAGUAAUCGCGAAUCAGAAUGUCGCGGUGAAUACGUUCCCGGGUCGUGUACACACCGCCCGUCACACCAUGGGAGUCGGGAAUGCCCGAAGUCAGUGACCCAACCUAUAGGAGGGAGCUGCCGAAGGCAGGUCUGAUAACUGGGGUGAAGUCGUAACAAGGUAUC
rnacentral:rRNA from 1 species